AACGAACGCUGGCGGCAGGCCUAACACAUGCAAGUCGAGCGAGGACUUCGGUCCUAGCGGCGGACGGGUGAGUAACGCGUGGGAACGUGCCCUUUGCUUCGGAAUAGUCCUGGGAAACUGGGAGUAAUACCGGAUGAGCCCUUUGGGGGAAAGAUUUAUCGGCGAAGGAUCGGCCCGCGUUGGAUUAGGUAGUUGGUGGGGUAAUGGCCUACCAAGCCGACGAUCCAUAGCUGGUUUGAGAGGAUGAUCAGCCACACUGGGACUGAGACACGGCCCAGACUCCUACGGGAAGCAGCAGUGGGGAAUCUUAGACAAUGGGGGAAACCCUGAUCUAGCCAUGCCGCGUGAGCGAUGAAGGCCUUAGGGUUGUAAAGCUCUUUCAGCUGGGAAGAUAAUGACGGUACCAGCAGAAGAAGCCCCGGCUAACUCCGUG
rnacentral:rRNA from 1 species